GAUGAACGCUGGCGGCGUGCCUAAUACAUGCAAGUCGAGCGAACAGACGAGGAGCUUGCUCCUCUGAAGUUAGCGGCGGACGGGUGAGUAACACGUGGAUACCCUACCUAUAAGACUGGGAUAACUUCGGGAAACCGGAGCUAAUACCGGAUAACAUGUUGAACCGCAUGGUUCUACAGUGAUAGACGGUCUUGCUGUCCCUUAUAGAUGGAUCCGCGCCGGAUUAGCUAGUUGGUAAGGUAACGGCUUACCAAGGCAACGCUGCGUAGCCGACCUGAGAGGGUGAUCGGCCACACUGGAACUGAGACACGGUCCAGACUCCUACGGGAGGCAGCAGUAGGGAAUCUUCCGCAAUGGGCGAAAGCCUGACGGAGCAACGCCGCGUGAGUGAAGAAGGUCUUCGGAUCGUAAAACUCUGUUAUUAGGGAAGAACAGAUGUGUAAGUAACUAUGCACGUCUUGACGGUACCUAAUCAGAAAGCCACGGCUAACUACGUG
rnacentral:rRNA from 1 species